UAGGGAAUCUUCCGCAAUGGACGAAAGUCUGACGGAGCAACGCCGCGUGAGUGAUGAAGGUUUUUGGAUCGUAAAGCUCUGUUGUCAGGGAAGAACAAGUACCGUUCGAAUAGGGCGGUACCUUGACGGUACCUAACCAGAAAGCCACGGCUAACUACGUGCCAGCAGCCGCGGUAAUACGUAGGUGGCAAGCGUUGUCCGGAAUUAUUGGGCGUAAAGGGCUCGCAGGCGGUUUCUUAAGUCUGAUGUGAAAGCCCCCGGUUCAACCGGGGAGGGUCAUUGGAAACUGGGGAACGUGAGGGCAGAAGAGGAGAGUGGAAGUCCACGUGUAGCGGUGAAAUGCGUAGAGAUGUGGAGGAACACCAGUGGCGAAGGCGACUCUCUGGUCUGUAACUGACGCUGAGGAGCGAAAGCGUGGGGAGCGAACA
rnacentral:rRNA from 1 species